GCCCACCUGUCUCCAACAAGCUUGUACAUUCUAUAAAUGAGAUCUUCUUCUUGUUCGGACAUGUUUAUGAACUCCCAUUCAAUACUGCUCACCUCUUCAGAGCAACUCCUGGGUUGCUUCCUGCGGCGUCUAUCCAUUGCUGCUGCUGCGUUGGAUAUAUUGAGGAAGGAUUUGUGAGCUAAAACUGAAAGACGAAAAUUA
rnacentral:misc_RNA from 1 species